GUUCCAUUCUCGAAGGAACCGGAAAUAUGCUGGUACUCCGAAUGCAAUGGAAACCGGAUAUCCGUCAAUCGGAAAUGACGACGGAACCCGGAAGAAACGAAGGACGGAACAGAUGUUCGGUAUUCCCCCAUCAUAAGAAGGUAUAAAACAAUGUGUGGCAUUUGGACACCCCUAGGAGCAACUGAGGAAGCCCAAUUUUUGGGCGAAAUGCGUCUUGCUUGAUCUCCCAGAGUGG